rnacentral:rRNA from 1 species
AUUGAACGCUGGCGGCAGGCCUAACACAUGCAAGUCGAACGAGUGGCGGACGGGUGAGUAAUGACUGGGAAACUGCCUGAUGGAGGGGGAUGAAUACUGGAAACGGUAGCUAAUACCGCAUACCAUCAGAUGUGCCCAGAUGGGAUUAGCUUGUUGGUGGGGUAACGGCUCACCCAGGAGACGAACCCUAGCUGGUCUGAGAGGAUGACCAGCCACACUGGACCUGAGACAGGGCCCAGACUCCUACGUGAGGCAGCAGUGGGGAAUAUUGCACAAUGGGGGCAAGCCUGAUGCAGCCAGGCAGCGUGUAUGAAGAAGGCCUUCGGGUUGUAAAGUACGUUCAGCGGGGAGGCGUUACUCGCAGAAGAAGCACCGGCUAACUCCGUGCCAGCAGCCGCGGUAAUUC